AUCAGCAGUGAUUGCUCGGUCUGUGUGAACUGUGUUACUAGUUUUACUUUCUGUUUUACGGCUGUGGCAAAGGAUUUUUCGAAAAAGAUGGGAGCUACUUUUUUUCUGUCUGCUGGGUAACUGAUGUUCUGUGUAACCUUAACGUGCAGGACUUCUUUUUCAUAUUUCCACUUUGUACAGGACCUCGAGUAGGAUGGGUGGUUGGAAGAACAAUUGACACAGCAGUCUGGCCCUUUGCAUUCUUUGGUCUCAUGGUCACUCUUUCCACACCGUGCACAACAAGCAGAGCCGCGGCACCCGUCUGCAGCAUGUCCAAACCUGUUGCACCGAAAACAGCGCAACAGGUUCGGAAUGGUCUGCACUAGACAGUACUAUAUACUUGGCAAUGAACUGUUUAUAUGAACUUUGUGAAACUUCGGUCCGUGGUCGCUUUGCGGCCACGAUCUCAUGAGGAGAAGAAAAUUUACCCAUACAGGUCCCGGAGUGUCGAC